rnacentral:rRNA from 1 species
AUUGAACGCUGGCGGAAUGCUUUACACAUGCAAGUCGAGCGGCAGCGCGGGGGCAACCCUGGCGGCGAGCGGCGAACGGGUGAGUAACAUAUCGGAACGUACCCAGUCGUGGGGGAUAACUAUCCGAAAGGAUAGCUAAUACCGCAUACGUCCUGAGGGAGAAAGCGGGGGAUCGCAAGACCUCGCGCGAUUGGAGCGGCCGAUAUCGGAUUAGCUAGUUGGUGGGGUAAAGGCUCACCAAGGCGACGAUCCGUAGCGGGUCUGAGAGGACGACCCGCCACACUGGAACUGAGACACGGUCCAGACUCCUACGGGAGGCAGCAGUGGGGAAUUUUGGACAAUGGGGGCAACCCUGAUCCAGCCAUUCCGCGUGAGUGAAGAAGGCCUCGGUUG